AGGGUUUGAUCAUGGCUCAGAACGAACGCUGGCGGCAGGCUUAACACAUGCAAGUCGAACGGGUAUAGCAAUAUACUAGUGGCAGACGGGUGAGUAACACGUGGGAAUCUACCUAAUAGUACGGAACAACUCAGAGAAAUUUGAGCUAAUACCGUAUACGCCCUACGGAGAAAAGAUUUAUCGCCAAAAGAUCGGCCCGCGCUAGAUUAGCUAGUUGGUGAGGUAAUGGCUCACCAAGGCUACGAUCUAUAGCAGGUUUGAGAGGAUGAUCUGCCACACUGGGACUGAGAUACGGCCCAGACUCCUACGGGAGGCAGCAGUGGGGAAUAUUGGACAAUGGACGAAAGUCUGAUCCAGCCAUGCCGCGUGAGUGAAGAAGGCCUUCGGGUUGUAAAACUCUUUUAACAGGGAAGAUAAUGACGGUACCUGUAGAAUAAGCACCGGCUAACUCCGUGCCAGCAGCCGCGGUAAUACGGAGGGUGCUAGCGUUAUUCGGAAUUACUGGGCGUAAAGCGAGCGUAGGCGGUUAGUAAAGUUGGAUGUGAAAGCCCGGGGCUCAACCUCGGAACUGCAUUCAAAACUCACUAACUAGAAUUCGGUAGAGGAUAGUGGAAUUCCUAGUGUAGAGGUGAAAUUCGUAGAUAUUAGGAGGAACACCAGUGGCGAAGGCGACUAUCUGGACCAGUAUUGACGCUAAGGCUCGAAAGCGUGGGGAGCAAACAGGAUUAGAUACCCUGGUAGUCCACGCCGUAAACGAUGUGUGCUAAUUGUCGCUGACCCCUGCGGUGUCGCAGCUAACGCAUUAAGCACUCCGCCUGGGGAGUACGGUCGCAAGAUUAAAACUCAAAGGAAUUGACGGGGGCCCGCACAAGCGGUGGAGCAUGUGGUUUAAUUCGACGCAACGCGCAGAACCUUACCAAUCCUUGACAUACUUGUCGUCGGUCCUGUAAUGAGACCUUCGGUUCGGCCGGACUAGUGACAGGUGCUGCAUGGCUGUCGUCAGCUCGUGUCGUGAGAUGUUCGGUUAAGUCCGGCAACGAGCGCAACCCCUAUUGUUAGUUGCCAUCGGUUCGGCCGGGCACUCUGGAGGAACCGCCGGUGAUAAGCCGGAGGAAGGUGGGGAUGACGUCAAGUCCUCAUGGCCCUUACGGAUUGGGCUACACACGUGCUACAAUGGCGGCGACAGAGGGCCGCGACCCCGCGAGGGUGAGCAAAUCUCCAAAAGCCGUCUCAGUUCGGAUUGGAGUCUGCAACUCGACUCCAUGAAGUUGGAAUCGCUAGUAAUCGCAGAUCAGCAUGCUGCGUUGAAUACGUUCCCGGGCCUUGUACACACCGCCCGUCACACCAUGGGAGUUGGUUCUACCCGAAGCCGGUGCGCUAACCGCAAGGAGGCAACCGAUCACGGUAAGGUCAGCGACUGGGGUGAAGUCGUAACAAGGUAGCCGUA
rnacentral:rRNA from 1 species